GACGAACGCUGGCGGCGUGCCUAAUACAUGCAAGUGGGACGCAAGGAAACACACUGUGCUUGCACACCGUGUUUUCUUGAGUCGCGAACGGGUGAGUAACGCGUAGGUAACCUGCCUAUUAGCGGGGGAUAACUAUUGGAAACGAUAGCUAAUACCGCAUAAUAUUAAUUAUUGCAUGAUAAUUGAUUGAAAGAUGCAAGCGCAUCACUAGUAGAUGGACCUGCGUUGUAUUAGCUAAUUGGUAAGGUAAGAGCUUACCAAGGUGACGAUACAUAGCCGACCUGAGAGGGUGAUCGGCCACACUGGGACUGAGACACGGCCCAGACUCCUACGGGAGGCAGCAGUAGGGAAUCUUCGGCAAUGGACGAAAGUCUGACCGAGCAACGCCGCGUGAGUGAAAAAGGUUUUCGGAUCGUAAAGCUCUGUUGUAAGUCAAGAACGUGUGUGAGAGUGGAAAGUUACACAGUGACGGUAGCUACCAGAAAGGG
rnacentral:rRNA from 1 species